rnacentral:lncRNA from 1 species
ACACCAAUAUUUUGCCCAUCUCCUCCACCACCACCUAGGUCUCCGCCACCACCAUCACCACCUCCACCUCCUCCAUCUCCACCACCACCGCCACCUCCUCCAUCUCCACCACCGCCUUCACCUCCACCUCCAUCCCCUCCUCCACCUCCACCAUCACCUCCACCACCUUCCCCUCCCCCGCCUUCACCUCCCCCACCCCCAACCCUUCCUCCUCCACCAACGUCACCACCUCCCCCUCCGCGUUCACUUGUUUGCACGAUAUUACCUCUCCCAUUACUUUGCCCAACCCCACCUGCACCACCUCCACCUCCGCGUACUCCACUUCUUUGCACAGUAUUACCUCGAGCAAUAUUUUGCCCAUCCCCACCACCAC